CUACCAUGCAAGUCGAACGAUGAUGCCCACUUGUGGGUGGAUUAGUGGCGAACGGGUGAGUAACACGUGAGUAACCUGCCCUUGACUCUGGGAUAAGCCUGGGAAACUGGGUCUAAUACCGGAUAUGACCUUCCAUCGCAUGGUGGUUGGUGGAAAGCUUUUGUGGUUUUGGAUGGACUCGCGGCCUAUCAGCUUGUUGGUGGGGUAAUGGCCUACCAAGGCGACGACGGGUAGCCGGCCUGAGAGGGUGACCGGCCACACUGGGACUGAGACACGGCCCAGACUCCUACGGGAGGCAGCAGUGGGGAAUAUUGCACAAUGGGCGCAAGCCUGAUGCAGCGACGCCGCGUGAGGGAUGACGGCCUUCGGGUUGUAAACCUCUUUCAGUAGGGAAGAAGCGUAAGUGACGGUACCUGCAGAAGAAGCGCCGGCUAACUACGUGCCAGCAGCCGCGGUAAUACGUAGGGCGCAAGCGUUAUCCGGAAUUAUUGGGCGUAAAGAGCUCGUAGGCGGUUUGUCGCGUCUGCCGUGAAAGUCCGGGGCUCAACUCCGGAUCUGCGGUGGGUACGGGCAGACUAGAGUGAUGUAGGGGAGACUGGAAUUCCUGGUGUAGCGGUGAAAUGCGCAGAUAUCAGGAGGAACACCGAUGGCGAAGGCAGGUCUCUGGGCAUUAACUGACGCUGAGGAGCGAAAGCAUGGGGAGCGAACAGGAUUAGAUACCCUGGUAGUCCAUGCCGUAAACGUUGGGCACUAGGUGUGGGGGACAUUCCACGUUUUCCGCGCCGUAGCUAACGCAUUAAGUGCCCCGCCUGGGGAGUACGGCCGCAAGGCUAAAACUCAAA
rnacentral:rRNA from 1 species